rnacentral:tRNA from 18 species
GGGGUGUUAGCUCAGCUGGUUAGAGCGCCGGCCUGUCACGUCGGAGGUCGAGGGUUCGAGUCCCUUACAUCCCGCCA